rnacentral:tRNA from 1 species
GGGGAGAUACCAAAGCGGCCAACUGGGACGGACUGUAAAUCCGUUGUCUUUCGACUUCGCAGGUUCGAAUCCUGCUCUCCCCA